CCUACGGGAGGCAGCAGUGGGGAAUAUUGCACAAUGGGGGAAACCCCGAUGCAGCAACGCCGCGUGGAGGAUGACGCAUUUCGGUGUGUAAACUCCUUUUAUCGGUCAAGAAAAUGACGGUAGCCGAUGAAUAAGCACCGGCUAACUCCGUGCCAGCAGCCGCGGUAAU
rnacentral:rRNA from 1 species